GCGGCAACAACCUGCAGAUCCAUGGCCUGGUGCGCCAGGACUCCGCGAUGUACCAGUGUCUGGCACACAGCUCCGCCGGGGACGCCCAGCUGUGUGUCCUUGAGUCAAAGAACGCGUCCAGAACGUGAGUGCAGCUCCUCCAGCGAGGGACUGGAUGAAUACAAGACCCAGAUCAGCGACCUAAGUCCCGGGAGUAACUGCAUGGUGCGGGUGGCGGCCUACACCUCCGGCGGCCUGGUGGGCGCCUCCAUACACGAGGUGCGGGUGUUCACCAAGCCGGGCCUGGACCUGCCCUCCGCCCCAGAAUCUGAAAGUUGUCCCCACCUCACCCACCAGUCUGGGUGUCACUUGGUCGCCGCCCGUACUGGCCAAAACGCCCAUCACGGGAUACACCAUGUUCUAUAUGCAGAUGUGGACGGCCUUAUAGAACUGUGUGCUAAAUGUGGAGUCCCUGUUGCCUAACAAAAGUCUUCCCAUAUCCUUGUGUGUCAUUAGUGACCUUCCUUUGAGUACAGGGUAACCAUAGCCGUGUGUUUGUACAAGUGCCAGUGUGUAUCUUAGCCAUUGUCUCCCUUGUAAUUUUCUCCUCAGGUUGGGUCAGCAGAAGAACACGAGGUAGAGGUCACUGGUACGUCAUAUGACCUCCAAGGCCUGGACCAGUUCACUGAGCAUAGCGUAUGGCUCACCGCCGUCAACAGUAAUGGCGGGGGAGACGCCACCCCGGAGGUCACUGCCAGAACCUUCUCAGACGUGCCCUCAAAGGAGCCUCAGAAUGUGAGCGUUGAGGCUGCCAGCUCAAGGAGCCUCAUCAUCUGCUGGGAGCCUCCGCUGGCCGAGCACCAGAAUGGGAUCAUCACCAGCUGCAAGAUCCCCGACAAGGAGCUCGGCGAGUCAGGUUCCUCCAAAACCAAAGCAACAGACGGAAACAGACGACUCUUUGCCCUCAAGAAAAGCACCACAUACUCCAUAAAGGUUUAACCCGUCUGCUGCGACUGGCACAUAUUUCACAAUCACUGGUAGCCUGAUAACAUACAGUCCCUGGUCUUUCUCUGCUUCUGUGGUGGAUAGUGGAGUGUUUCCCAUGUGGUAUUGGUGUGCUGGAUAUCCCUUCACUGGUAGCCUGAUAACAUACAGUCCCUGGUCUUUCUCUGCCUCUGUGGUGGAUAGUGGAGUGUUUCCUAUGUGGUAUUGGUGUGCUGGAUAUCCCCUCCUAAGGUGCAGGACUUACAUUUUCUUCAUUGAAUUGUAGCCACAUAUACUUUUUGGUCUCGCUGUUCAUUUCCCAUUUCCUUCUGGUUCUCCUCCUCCUCCUCCUCCUGUAACCCUCUCUGUCCUGUCCCUACUGUUCAUGUUCUAUUUUUUCCUCUUGCUGUUCCAAUUUUCCUGUUCCUGUGUCCCCGCCCUGCCAACUAUUCUCCUGUCAUUCUCCCGCGCCUUGCUUCUCUGCAUUUCCUGGUCUGCCUUCCUUCCUUCCUCCUAUAUUUUACAUCUCCAUUUCUCCUCCUACUCCUUCUUUUCCAUCUCUCAAGUUUCCUUCCCUUAUCCCAUUCUCCUCCUCCUCUAUGAUUUUCAUGUCGAUGGAACUUAGAUUUAUUCAUUUCAUCUCUCUCUCUCAGAGGGAAGACUUACACACAGUUAUUCUUUUUACUUCAUUUAUUUAUUUAUUGAUACAUUUUAUUAUUGUUCUGAUCUCCCUCACACACACUCUACUAACAGGGAGCAUAUGCCAAGGAUGGUGUUGGUUCAGAGAGGGAGAGAGUAAGGGGGAAGGGUCUUAUAUAUGUGUCUGGGGGGCAUGUGUCUGUGGGGUUUGUAAACAUACUGUGGGGCCCAUUCUGUGGGGCCUGUGAGCUGUGGUGAGUAGAGUAAGAGAGAGAGAGAGAGAGAGAGAGAGAGAGAGAGAGAGAGAGAGAGAGUAAAGGCAAACCACGUACAUGCAAACAUCAACUUGGGUUAUUACUAGAGUUAAUCCAUUUUAGCGAGUCCUGCAGGUGCUUUCCUGCCCUCUGCUCUGCCACUCAGUCCCAACACUUCCUGUCAUGUGUUACCUGUAGAUAACACAUGAGAUGAAGGGACAGGACUGUGU